rnacentral:rRNA from 1 species
UCCGUAGGGUGCAAGCGUUAAUCGGAAUUACUGGGCGUAAAGCGUGCGCAGGCGGUGAUGUAAGACAGAUGUGAAAUCCCCGGGCUCAACUUGGGAACUGCAUUUGUGACUGCAUCGCUGGAGUGCGGCAGAGGGGGAUGGAAUUCCGCGUGUAGCAGUGAAAUGCGUAGAUAUGCGGAGGAACACCGAUGGCGAAGGCAAUCCCCUGGGCCUGCACUGACGCUCAUGCGCGAAAGCGUGGGGAGCAAACAGG